rnacentral:lncRNA from 1 species
GCUGCCACCUUCACUGGGCCCAUGCCUCCCUCCUCUUCCUCUCCCUAGCCCACACCUCAUCUCUCUCUUGGCAUCCUCUCAUGGAGCCAAAAAGGGGGUGGGCGGCACAUAGGGGUUGUAUCAAAUAGUUUGCACCACUUGUUUGGUUCUUGUUCUCUUUACUCUCAAGUUUAUUGAGAGUUUGUUACAAUCACUUUUUAGUUGUUGUUCUUCUUGAUUAGUUGAAAGAUCAAGAAAGGGUUCUUGGUUUCCUUAAGAAUCAAGAAAAAAAGAUUAAAAGGGUCAUCAAAG